GACGAACGCUGGCGGCGCGCUUAACACAUGCAAGUCGAACGGAAAGGCCUGCUUUCCCUUGUGGAUUGCGGGUACUCGAGUGGCGAACGGGUGAGUAACACGUGAGUGAUCUGCCCCCAACUUGGGUAUAAGCCUGGGAAACUGGGUCUAAUUCCCGAUAGGACUGCAGGGUGGUGCCUGUGGUGGAAAACGAUUCUCUAGUGGUUGGGGAUGAGCUCGCGGCCUAUCAGCUUGUUGGUGGGGUAAUGGCCUACCAAGGCGGCGACGGGUAGCCGGCCUGAGAGGGUGGACGGCCACAUUGGGACUGAGAGACGGCCCAGACUCCUACGGGAGGCAGCAGUGGGGAAUAUUACACAAUGGGCGGAAGCCUGAUGCAGCGACGCCGCGUGGGGGAUGACGGCCUUCGGGUUGUAAACUCCUUUCGACCGCGAGGAAGCCACCUGGUUGGAAGGGUGGUGACGGUAGUGGUAGAAGAAGCACCGGCUAACUACGUG
rnacentral:rRNA from 1 species